CCAGGAGUUGGUGAUGGACAGGGAGGCCUGGCGUGCUGCGGUUCAUGAGGCUGCAAAGAGGCGGACACGAUUGAGCGACUGAACUGAACUGAACUGAACUAGCCAUACUUUUUUUGAAGGAUGAAUAGCUUUUCAGACUCUCCUUUUUUCUUACAACAAAGAGUAGGCAGCCACUAUGUCCCAGGUGUCAAAAUAGUAACUGAGAGAUAGGACACAGGCCCUUCCCUUUGAGAAGUCUGGUAGGAGGGUCAUGUGAAUAGUGACAAUAAUGUCCUAGAUGUAAAAACAGAAGUGAGAAGUGUGUGCAAGAUGCAUCAAAGGCCAGAGGAAGGAACUGUCCGUUCUAUAGCGGGACGUGAGAGAAAGGGUCGGAGCAGGGAGCUGGCUGAGGCAAGGAGCCGUGUGUAGCAGGAAAGCUGUGCUCAGGUACUGCGACUGGGCUUUUUUGGGUCCAAGUACUAAGAGAGUUGCUGGGGGGUGUGAGACCACCACCCAGCAGCUGGGUGCAAGCCUGGUGGUUUCAGGCCAGCUGCCUGUGGACGAGCCAUGAGAUCUGGGGAGAAGUUUGACCACUGGACUCUGGUUCCCACUCCUUCACACAUGAACUAGUGGCCUGAAGCCCCACGCUUGACCGCUCAGCUCCACGUCCUCAAGCCUAAACUGGAGAUUACGAUAACACUAGUCACAUCUUCUUGGCAGGGGUGACGUGAGUAAAUGGGAUGAUACAAGUGAAGGGCCUCCGACAGAGCCCAGACGUGCAGUUUAUGUAAAGUGGGAGCUAGCUGAUCUCCCUGCCAGUGUCCCCUGGAGGCAGGCCUGUGUGUGGGGGCAGGGGGCACAGGGAGGAAGGGCAGUGGGGUUCCAGGUCUGUGGGCAGGGACAAGCCCACUCUUGCUCUAUCAGGGGCUGAGAGGUGGUGUUCUUUGGUGGAUCCCAGACUGGGUUAGUCACAGGGGCUGCCUGUGUGAGCCUGGCUGGCUUGUGCCCUUUGUGCUUUUUCUCGCCUCUUUUCUAAACCAGGCCUCUUUUGGCAAUGCAAGCCUAUCUGUGACAACUGCCCGAUGGCCAGGGCUUGGCCUAUCUGACCCUGGGCCUGGUCAAGGUCUGGGGCAGGAAUCUUUCAGAGUGCAGAAGCUCCAAGAUGGGUCUGACCGUGGGAGGUAGGCCUGCUCCAAGGAUGGCACCUCCAUAGCUCUCCAGGCCCUGGCUCUAGCCCAAGGCUCAGGCCGGGCAGAGCAUCACAGCAUCAGGGGUCUUCUCAAGGGCCCAGUGCUGACCUGGCCUUCGUGCAGGCUGCUCUGGGAGGGGCUCCAUUGAGACGGGUCUCGUGAAAGGCCAGUUACCUGCCAGUGCUUGGCGUCCAAAAUAGAAUCUGAAGGAGCAGCAAAGCCUUUAAUUCAAUGUGUCUCAACAGUGGGUCGGUGUGGGGAUAACUAUGAUCUGACCGGUCUUGGGCUAUAAUUACGGAGUCAGAAUAAAAAAUUACAGGCAUUGUGUGGGCUUGUUUUAAAUAUAACGUAAUCCACACCGUCCUCUCUCUUAUUUGCUAGAUUUGAGGUGCAGUCUUGGGCAGUUGGCACAGGUUCUGCCUGACGUGUAGCAGAUAAAAAUGGCCCUUACCCAGUGAAAAGGGCAUGGCAGGAGGCCUCCCCAGACCCCUAAUGUUCCUGACUGCCCACGGCCCGUAACCCACAAGCACACGUGCACAUAGGUCCGCGCAGGCCUCUGUCGUCCACGUGAUCUGUGCCUGGCAUCUCCCCCACCAGCCUCCCUGCCUCCAGCCUCCCCCAGCCAGUCCACCAGAAAUAUCUUUGUAAAACACAGUCUUGAGGCUUAAGACCCAUUAAUGGCGCCCCUCUGUCCAUAGGGUAAAUCCAUCCAAACUCUUAGUUCUUUCAGGUCUUGGCCCCAAACCACCUUUCAGCAUCAUGUCUGGUAACAACAAGCAGCCAUAGAACUGAGGUGAAGGGGCCGGGGUUCCUGACUAUGUGGGAUUAAACUCACAGGCUCCAUGUCUCAUGAGCUGAGUGAGAGUCUGAACAGGUUAUCCCAUCCACGUGCUUUAGCUCCCUGAUACUGUAGGUUGUUGAGAGGAUGGCAUGAGAUAACACAUUCCUGGGAUGACCGCAGGCAUGUCCCUUUUCCUCACCGAGUCUCAAAUUACCUAUUAAAAGGAGGCGAUAGACUCAUUGCUUUUCGGAUCAGUAAAUGUUUUUAAAGUGAUAUUUCUUCACGUAGUUGUAUGUGGUGAGACAAAUACAUGUUGUUAGCUCAACCUUUCUGGCAAGCAAAGUCGAAAGACUAAAAACAUGUUUAUACCCUAUCAGUGUGAAUAAUCUAAGGGAAAAUUCAAAUUGUGGACAAGGAUUUAUAUUUAAAAGAUUUUUACCUCAGUGUUUCCCCGCCACCCCGGUGUGUUUUUACAUCCUUGAAAAACAAAAAAACAUAAUGACAAACAUUGGGAUAACAGUAAGUAUUGGGUUAGCCAAAAGUUCAUCUAGGGUUUUCCAUAGUAAACCCUGAACAAAUUAACUUUUUGGCUAACUUAGUAUCUAUUUAUUUGUGUGUCUCACUCAAAACUUGUAGGUAGGAAUUAAAAGUGUUUAUGAAGAAUAUUUCACUAUGCUGAAAAUGCUUAUCAUGUAUAAUUUAAAGUGAAUAAAGUACAUAUAAAAUUGUAUAAUGUAUACUGUAUGAUCUUGGUGAUAAUGAAAAUAUUAUUUUUAUUUAUAAUUAAAAUUAU
rnacentral:lncRNA from 1 species